AAUACACAAUUUUAGGCUGCUUCCUUGACAGAUUUGGCCUCUGAGAGUAGGACCCAGGGAUGAGUACUUUAAUUUUUUUUUAAUAUGCACUCCGAAGUGAUUACUAUAUGAUCAGUCUGUAAUUGUCCACAUGUGGCAUUGAGGAAGCAGAGUUAGUUUACAUAGGGCCUAUGAUAUGUGUUCAGAGAUCCUUUCCAUUGAUCAUGUCAUUUGAAUCUUAAUCUUAUAGGGCAAGUAAAAGUAAUAUCAUUUCUCUUUUACAGAUGAGGGAUUAAAGUUCAGUGAAAUUCAGAUACUUACCUUUAGCUCACUGAGAGUAGAGUCAGGUCUCCUAGUCCACAUUUCAUUUUGCUCUACCAUUGUGAAUGACAAGCCUUGCCUCUCCUUGAAGACUUUCUUAAAUGGGCAGUUAAACGCCUCCUGUGAUACCCUAGAUCAGUUCAAACCCUCUGGCUACCUAUGGUGACAAAUCUGCUUUUUAAAAAUAUAUAUAUUUUUUAAUGAAUGAGACCAAUAUGUUUACAAAAUACAAUAAAAGCCAAAAGCUAGAAAAAUAAAAUCCAAAGGCGUAUAAAAUACAACCUUUCAUUUUUUUAUUUGUGUAAAUAGACUUAAAAUACCAUUUCAAAAAAUAAGUAAGUGUAACAUAGAACGAUUGCUCAUAAACAUUUUUAAAUGUUUGUACUCAGGUUUUAUACUCUUCUCAUCUCAAGCUGGUAACAAAUAGUUUGCUAAUCAACACUGGCCUGAUUAGCAGUCAGACCAGUGGCCAGACCAGUGCUGAUUAGCAAACUAUUUGUUACCAGUCUGAGAUGAGACUGGUAACACUUUCAGCAGCUGUCCUUCGCUUCAUUAUUGGGGGGAAUUCAGCCCUUUUUUAGGAAACCUCUUUUCCCAUGACUUCCAGCCAACAGGAUCUGGUUCUAUUUUCUGGAGCAAUUAGUCGCAAGCUAACUGUCUUACAUUAUAACACCCCUGCCACUUGAGGACAGUUGUCUGCCGGAGAUCCAACCAAACCUUCCCAGUUUCUUCUAUUGACUUUCCUAAAAUGGAAUUCUUUUGUACUCCUUAUCCUGGGCCUUCUCAUCUAAACAGUCAUUUAUAUUCCCCUAAACCAGCAUCCAGGAGUGGAACACAGAACUCUAAAUAUGAAAGUGCAUAUUCUUUGCAAGACUUCUCACCUCCUCCUCCUUCUAAUUUUCACAAUUUAUAGGCCAUUCUUGGCUUUGGGUCUAUAAGGACAAAUUUCACUAUGUUCUUUAUCCCUUGUAGGGAUAAAGUCUACAAUCUGGCAGUUACCUAGGAGCUAAAACAUCCGAGUAGCAGAGUUCCAUAAGCCAUUGAGUUGACAGAAAAUUGCAACAAGGAAGGAGUAGCCAGUGGAAUACGGCAAUGGCCUGAGAGUCUAAGUUGAGGGGCAAUCUUAAAGUGGCUGACAACAUUCCCUUCAUUUCUUGUUCUAGUGGAAAGCUUAGCACUUAGCUUCCUUUGUAGAUCAACUGGUGGUUGUUUUUCUUCUCACACUGUCAGUGCCGGCUACUCUGAAGAUGGGGUAGGUGUCCUACUCACUCCUUAGUGCGAUCUCUGAAUCAUCUCCCAAAUUCCUCUCUAAACACUGCCCCCUACAACUUAGAAUCCCAGGCCAUUGCCAUAUUCCACCUGCUACUCCCCCCUUGUUGCAAUUAUCUGUCAACUCAAUGGCUUGUGGACUCUGUUACUUGGACGUUUUAGCUCCUAGAUAUCUGUCAGACUCUAUUUCUAAUGUCUUGGUGGCUCAGUUUCUUACUUCUCUUGGCAUACUCUUGCCCUGCACCCUACUUCACACACACUGGGUCUUCAUACCUGAGACACUGCCAUUGCCAAUAACUGUACCCCCUCCAUUCUCUCAGUGUCAAACAUCUCACACUAGCACUGCCACUUCCACACCUUCCUUCUCACUCCCUCUGAUACAUCACCUGCGUAGUUCUUAAAUCCCACUGAGAACUCCAAAUAACUGAUGCUAUCACCUCUUCUUAGUCCCUCAAAACCAUACAGAAUCCUUAUCCAUCUUAAAUUCUGUGGCCAGCCAUUAUAAUCACAUUUUUGCCAACAAACACAAGUACUUGUGAAACUAAGCCAUAGUCUUUGCUAAAUCCAACUUUCUGUCUGCCCUAUACUUGGUCACCUAGAGCUGAAAGUGGCUGAAAAAAAAACAUACAACCAUGAUUGUUUGUCUCACAUUCACUUCCUAUCAUCAACCUCAAGUGGCUCUUACCGCUAUAUGGUACUUAAAUUUUCCCCGAUCUAUUUAUUUAUUCUCAAAUCUCCUAGGAAACUAUUUCAUACCUUUUAAUCUCUGCUCUACUCCUCCACACCUCCCUCCUCAUCCUCAAUCUCAGAUGAUGGCUCUGCUUUCUAUUUCAUAAAGAAUAUGGAAACAUGCAUAAGAGUAUUCCUGCAGUUUCCCACUGCCACUUGUCCCUGCUUAGUUCCAUCCAUGCCCUAUAUUUGGUUUCUCUCCUAUUAGGAUCUCAGCAUUGCCCAUACUCCUAGCUAAGGGCAGUCCCUCCAUUUGUCCACUAGAUUUCAUCCCUUCCUCACUUUCUAAAGAUAUCAGUCUAGAAAUUCUGUCACUCUCAUCAUUUUUUUUUUUAAACUGGAAUUUUCCCAACAACAUGUAAGCACUUUUCCAUUCCUAACACUAUCUAGCCAUUACCUUAUUUCUUACCUUCCCUGUAUAGCUUAUCUCCUUGAAAGAGUUGCUAGUGCAGGCUUCUAUUUGCCUCUUUCAUUCUCUCUUGAGCCCACUCUGAUCAAUUUUGUCCCCAUGACACCACUAAAACUGCUUCAACCAAGGCCAUGAAUGAUUUCCAUAUUUACAGAUCUCAUUGUAAAUUUAUUCUGAUUUCUUGUUUUACUUACUCUUUCAGCAGUAGAUGACCAGCUUCUCUCUUACUUGAAAUGUCUUCUCCAUUUGGCUUUCUGAGUACCAUAGAGAUUAUCUAAUAGGUAUUUAAAAUAAAUCUGUUAAAAACUGAGUUAUUAUUAUUUGACUGAAAACAUUCUCAUUUGCAAUCUUCUUCAUCUCUAGCAAAUGCUCAGGCUAAAACUCUUGGUAUUACUCUUGACUGCCCUGAAAAACUUCCAUCAGAUAAACCUCUUCCAUCAGAUCAACCAUAUCUGAUGAAUAAGGAAAUUCUGUUGGUGUCCAUUCAAAGUAUAUCCAGGAUUUGAGGACAUCACAUCUUCACUGUUAGCAUUUUGGUUCAAGCCAUCAUCAUCUCUUACCUGGGUGAUUGACAAUGUCUUCCAACCAGUCUCCCUGGACCCCUUUCAUACAGUGGCUACUCUUGCUGAUUUGGUUAAAUUUCCAGUCAGAUCACGUCAUUCCUCUGCUGAAGCUGAUGUCUCCCUUCUUUACUCAGAAUGAGAUCCAAUGCUCCAAUCGUGACUCACAAGGCCCCAGACAAUCCAUCUUUGAUAGCCUCUCUGACUGCAUCAUCUUCUGUUCCCAGUCCUGUUUUUGCUCCAGUCACACUGGGCUCCUCACUUCCAGGCAUUGCCGACUCAAGGCCUUUGCCUCAGAUGUUCCUUCUCCCUAGAACUUUCAUUCUGAGAUCAGCAUGGCUUGCUCACGUCCAUCCUUCAUAUCUUUUCUCAAAUAGCCUCUCUCAAUGAGGACUUCCUUACUCAACUUAUCUAAAAUUGUAACCCUUCUAUUCCCAACAUAUAUUCCUAUUUUUGCUUUCCUUUUCUUCUUACCACUUUUUCCUAUAGAAUUUUUUUUUCAUUCCUUAUUUGUCCUUUCUACUAGUUUUGGGUUUUAUGAAGGCAGGAUUUGGUGUGUGUUUUGUUUACUACUAUAUUCCUAGCACCUAGGACGCUGCCUAGCACACGGUAGGAACUCAAUAAACACUUAUCGUGUGAAUCAAUGGUUAAGUGAAUGCAGGGGAUGUUGGACUUUUACUUCUUAAGAUACGAACAUUUUAUUCCAUAAAUACAAACUAAAUGUGGAUCAGCUUCUCUUAUAUUUAAGCAAUCACAUCCUACUCUUGAUAUAUACCACGCUUAUGAUCAACUACAAUUCCCAGCUCUUUUUCAUGUGAACUUCUGCCAAGCCAGGAGUUCCCUAUUAUGUAUUCAUAGAAUUAUUUUUAAAUUCCCACACAUGGCCCUUUAUAAACUUCAUCUUGUUAAACUCAACAGCCCAAGUCUGCCAAGAGAUAAUUCUGGAUCUUGAUUUUGCUAUAUCUUACAUUAACAUUAUCUUCUAGCUUUGACAAACUGUUUUGUUUGACUUUAUUUUUGUUUAUUAUAAUGAUAAUCAGAUAGGACAAAUAAAAAAAUUUGUGGGCCAUCAGAAGAGAAGUUGGGACAGACUGCAUCUUUCAAAAACAGCUGCACCAAUGAAUGCUCUUUUAUACUGUGGUGGUACUAUCCCUUAUUGCGAUAUUGGGUCUCAUUUCCCUUCCCUUUAAACUGAAGACUCUUAAAACUGCCUCAAUCAAUAAAGUAGGGUAGAAGCAACUCUUUGUGACUUCUGAAAGUUAAAUUAGCGGUGACAUUACUUCUUCCUGUUUUUUUCUUUCUUGGGACAUGCACCUUGGACCCUGAGCUGAAAUGAAAGAAGUCUGGUUACACUAAGGCCACCAUGCUGGAGAAAUCACCUGGACAGACCACAUAGAGAUAGAAAUUAAAGCCUGAGGUGCCUCAGAUGUUCCAGCCCCUAGUUGUUUACAUUUCUGAAGCCCUGGCACCAGACAUUAGGUCACGUGGACAAGGAUGGUCCUUCUCUCUGGAAAGCAGGCCUAGGGCCCCUGCAGAUAUGCUCACAGCACGGUGUCAAGUAGAAUGAGCUUCCUGGUGAUCAGGAAGUAAAAGAGAAUGGGUGAGACUUUACACACUGCCUUUUAUAAAUUCUCAUGCCCACAAUAUCUGAUCAAAUGUUUCAUACUUUGAUACAUCUGAUUGUCAACUCCUUCUGUGGAAGAAAUAAGUAACAGAGCGGAAAGAGACCAGAAAGUCCUUUGUGGGCAUUCCUUUUGAGUGGGAAGAAGGGGAAGAAAUUACCUUGGGGUGGGCCAGUAAGGCUAAACGAGAACUGGAGUCUGUCAUCCUUCACUUGCACCAUCUUCCUAGACUCUAUUUCCUCUUAUCCAAUUAUGUUUAACAGCUGGGUCAAUAGUUGAAUUCGAUUGUGGCUGAUAUUUCAGGACAAGUAUAUCAAGCCUAGUGGUUUAAAAUAAUAACCAUUCAUUGUCUCUUGUGAAUCUCAAGGUCAGUGUGGUGGUUCUGGUGAUCUUGGCUGGGAUCAUUCAUGCAUCUGCAGUCAACUGCUGGGUCAGCUAGAGCCCAGCUGGUCAGGAUGACCUCAAAUGGGAUGACGCUACUUUCUUCCCUAUAUGUCUCAGCUGUCUCCAUCAGAUAGCAUGGGCAUGUCUUCAUGGUUACUGCCAGGGCAAGAAAGUCUCUGCAUGCAUCCCAUUUCUUCUUGUUUCAUUGGCCAAAGCAAGUCACACAACUAAGCCCAGAUUCAAACUGGGAAGAGAAUACACAGUUAUAGAACAGGGAGAAUUCAGGGAUCCUAUUAGUUGGGACUACGAAUGCAAUCAAGAGAAGCAAUGUAUCAGGAGAGUCAUGGUAUUAACUUCUUGAUUCUGAUGUCACCCCCAAAGAAGUUUCUGUAAUAAUGAAAAUGUUCUGUACCUAUGUUGUUCAAUAUGGUAGCCACUAGCUACCUGUGACAACUUAAAUUUAACUUUAAUUUAAAUAAAAGUGAGAAAAUGAGUUUCUUAGUCACAAUAGCUGCAUUUUAAGCCUUAAUAGCUAGCAGUAUACUAAUAACUUUUUCUAAUAUUUUACCUUAAAUCAGUGAGGUGAAAAAUUAUUCACCUACAAGUCUCUAUAGUAGGUUAAAAUGGGACAUUAAUUUGCUAUAUUUUAGGCAUUUUUGUGUCCUAUUGGGAAGUGAUUUAAAUUGAUUAGGUCAUGCUCAGCCAGUUUAUUCUUCUGGGGAACCUUUAGCAGCUUACUGUAAUGGAGAAGGUGAUAUAUCUGCUCUCCACAGACCUGCUAAAACAUUACAGUGAAGCCAAGUUUCAGACAUUGCUCUGUCUCACCUGUAGACAUUUAUUGGCAAACAGGCUUGAGUCUGUUUGAGACAUACCCUGCUCUGCAGGAUCAAUCAAGACACUGUCUCUACUUUUAGGCAUGUUUUUCAGCUUCACUGAAUUGUAAUUCUAUAUAUUCAAGGCAUACAAUGUGAUGUUUUGAUAUACAUAUAUAUUUUGAAAUUAUUGUACCAAUCAAACUAAAUUAACAUAGCCAUCACCUCACAUAAUUACCUUUUGGUAUGAAUAUGUGCUGAGAAUGCUUAAGAUCUACUCUCUUAGCAAAUAUCAAGUAUAUUAUAUAUUAACUAUAGUCACUGUGCUUUAUAUUAUGUCUCCAGGACUUACGUAUCAUGCAACUGACCAAUGUCUGUCUAUUUUCCCCAUCCCUAGACCCUGGUAACCAUCUUUUUAGUCUUUGUUUCUGUGAGUUCAACUUCUUUAGAUUACUCAUGUAAGUGAGGACAUGCUAUGCUUGCCUUUUUGUCCCUGGCUUAUUUUACUUAGCAAAAUGUCUUUCAGGUUUCAGGUUCAUCUAUGUUGUUACAAACAAUAGAAUUUCCUUUUAGUUUUUUGAGAGAGCGACAAAGGUCUCACUAUAUUGCCCAGGCUGGUCUGGAAUCAAGCUAUCCUCCUACUUUAUCCUCACAAGUAGCUGAGACUACAGGCAUGGCACUGUAUCUGGCUUUUUAUUUUAUGACAAAAUUUAUGUUUUCCAAAAGUCUGUUAUAUUUCUAUUUUGUUUAAAGUUUUUCUAGCAAUUUUUAGUUUUAAAACAUAAAUGCUAGAACAUGCAGCAAAUGUAAUUUUUGUUAAUAAGAAAUUGUAAUCUUUUGUGGAUGGUAAUGCAUGAUCAAUUUUUGUAAAGAUGUUAAGAAAAAUUAGGAAAAAGAUAUAUUUUUUGUUUACAGAUUAUAUAUUUCCCUACAAAUUCCAGCUUUUAUUUUAUAUUAUUUAAACUAUGCAUUUAUUUAUCUUUGUGUUCCUCAUCUAUCAAAGGCUGAAAACUAAUGAAGGCUUCUUCAUUGGUUGCAAUUUUGUCCAUUUCAUCUUUAAAGUUUUUAAUUUAUGCAUUUGGCAAGCUGUGAUUUUAUGCAUGCCAUUUUAUGACUGCUAAAUUUACAUUGUGAGUGUAUAUUUUAACAAUAAAACAUGACAUUUUAAUUUGAAUCAUCCUUCACUCGGAAAGAAUGUAAACUUUUGGUAAUGUACUAUUAAUAUUAUUCAGAAAGGGUACAGGAUUGAUAUAAUUUCUUAAGACUUGCAUACUUAAGACCUUAUUUUUCUUCUGUCCAAAGAAUGCCGAUUUGACUGUGUAGGAAAUUACUGGAUUACAAUCCUUUUUUGUUUUUUUCUUGACUCUGCUUCAUUAUCUCCUGACAUUUCUUUCCUUUUUUUUUUUUUUUGAAGUAAUUUGUGUUUUCUUACCAUGUCACUGUUGGAUUUUGUUUUCUGUGUUUUGCUAAUUCAAAAAUGCAUCCAGUAGUUGUCAAGUUGUAAUGUUUUUUCUUAUUGUUUUUGUUUGGUUGUCUGUUGGAAUGUGUGAGCUUUUUUAACCAGCAUACUUGAGUACUUUCUUGAACUCUUUUCUCUUUUUCAAAACUUAGAUCAUUAUUGUCUUUGGUUCUGAUUUUCCUUGUUUUGUCUCAUCAGGUAUGCCUAUAAGUCUUAAGCUAAAUUUUUAUCCCCUAACUCUUUGUAUUUAAUUUUAUACCAUAUUGUUUUUGUCUCUUUAUCUUUUUCCUUUCAGUUCUGAGAAAAAUAUCUCAAUUCUGACCUUCACAGUCUCUGCCCCAUCAUGAACUAGAUUUUCAGCAAUGCUGCAUCUGUUUUAUCUUAGCUCUAGUGAGGACUUUAAUUGGAUUUUACAACGUCAGUGUCCUUAAAACCCUUCCCUAUCUCCUCAGUCACCUUCAUCUCAGCUCACUGUUUUGUACCUUACCCUGAGGUUAUAUAAUCAUCUUCGUUAUUUUUUCUUAUACCUUUCUGUUUCUAUUUUAUAUAGAUGAAGACGUGUCUUCUGUAUUAAUAGGACUCAGACUUUCAAUCAACGGUGUUUGCUGAACAUCUAUUUUGUGCUCAGGGACACCUUUAUUAGGCACAGACAUUAUACAAAAUAAUCACCCAAACAAUUGUAUACUGAAAAAAUCAUAGGGUGCCCUGAGAGGAUGUAACAGGAGGCCCACUUUAAUCUGGGGGGUGAGGAAGGGACUCCUUGAGCAGCUACCAUUUGAACUAAAACCUGAAUAAAGAGCAGAGGGAGCCAGUUACGGAGAGGUGGGGGAGAGGCUGGAUGCUCAGCAAAGCAUGCAGCAUGGCCCAGGAAGCCAAAAAUGCUGCCUCCUUCCAUGUACUCAUUGCCAAGAUUUCAUGAAAUCAUCUUUCCCUUAAUCUGUACAGUUUUUUAAAUUUUAUUAUUAUUUUUUGUUUUUUAAGGGGAUCCUGUAUUGCUGUUUUCUUCUUAGGUUGAGAGGAGUUUUUCUCUGGACCCUAAUCAGGGCACAGGCCCUGUGGAUAAGCCAGAGCUCAUCUGCCAACUUUGGUGACAGUGGAAAUCCUCUCUCAUGUCAAAGCUGAACUGAGUUAGUGCCAAUGUGUGUAGUUUCCAGUGCAUCAUGCUAUCGAAGCGUGUUCAUCUAGUAUGACAUUGCUGGACUAGGCGAUGUCUUCUGCUAUGCAAAUUGCCUGAUGUGCCUCUCUUACUAAAGAACACCCAGGCACGGAAGGGCUGCCAGCUUUCCUCGUAGGGAGGGGAAGUUUAGAUACCAAAUUCUGAGUCAGUGUCAAAUUGGUGGAAGGCAUUUUUGUCUUCAUGUUUCCCAGCCAAUAGAGCUGCUUUGUCUCAUGAACAAGGACUUCAUAGAGAGAGGACAUUCCUUCCAAAUUCUGAAACUAGAUUACUCAGCACUCCUUGUUUUUGGGUGAUGUGAUCAGCUUGUUUUAUUUUAGUUGUUUUAUCGUCUGUUCAUUUACAUAUGUUUUAGUGGUAUGUAAGAAGUUGUAACAAGAUGCUAUUUUAAACUAGAAGUCUUAUAACUGAGAACAUGUGGUAUUUGGCUUUCUGUUCCUACAUUAGUUUGCUAAGACUAAUCGCCUCCAGCUCCACUCAUGUCCCUGCAAAGUACAUGAUAUCAUUCUUUUUUUAUGGCUGCAAAGUAUGUUGUAUAUGUACCACAUUUUCUUUAUCCAGUCUAUCACUGAUGGACAUUUAGGUUGACUCCAUGUCUUUGCUCUUGUGAACAGUGCUGCAAUGAACAUAGACAUGCACGUGUCUUUAUAAUAGAACAAUUCGUACCCCUUUGGGUAUACAACCAAAGUAAUGGGAUUGCUGGUCAGCUAAAUGAUAAGACCACAUGGACACAUAGAGGGGAACAACACAAACUGGAACCUAUCAGAGGGCGGAAGGUGGGAGGAGAGAGAAGAUCAGAAAAAAUGACUAUUGGGUACUAGGUUUAAUACCUGUGUGAUGAAAUAAUCUGUACAACAAACCCCCAUGACACACAUUUACCUAUGUAACAAACCUGCACAUGUACCCAUGAACUUAAAAUAAAAGUUAAACAAGUAAAAUA